CCCAAGAGAUCGGGAUAACACCUGGAAACAGAUGCUAAUACCGGAUAACAACAGAUGAUGCCUAUCAACUGUUUAAAAGAUGGUUCUGCUAUCACUCUUGGAUGGACCUGCGGUGCAUUAGCUAGUUGGUAGGGUAACUGCCUACCAAGGCGAUGAUGCAUAGCCGAGUUGAGAGACUGAUCGGCCACAUUGGGACUGAGACACGGCCCAAACUCCUACGGGAGGCAGCAGCC
rnacentral:rRNA from 1 species